rnacentral:rRNA from 1 species
AUGGAAGAAGUGCCAAUAUUCAAUGGAGAGGAUAGUGGAAAAAAGAAGAAUAAGAAGAAGCGCAAGAGAGAAAGGAUAAAGCAAACACAAUGUAAGGAAAAAAUGCUGGUUAAAUUGAAGGAUGGGCGGUGGGAAGUAACCCACUUUGUCCGUGAUCAUAAUCAUCCUUUGGUCCCCAAGCCUUCGCUCUCCAAAUACUUGCGAUCUCACAUGGGUAUACCGCCGGAGGAAAAGAAGUUCUUAGAGAUACUCUACAACUGCAACCUCACUUCAGGCCGUAUGAUGACUAUCAUGUCAGAGUUUUAUGGCUCGGAGCUAAAUGUACCAUAUGGACCUAAAGAAAUAACAAACUUAUGUGCUGGCUUCUCCAAAGACUCAACGAAAGAGGGGGACAUUAUUGAGACAAUUGAACAUUUUAAAGAGUUGCAAAAAGAUGAUCCAGACUUUUUCUAUAAAAUAAAAUAA